GUAUACUCAAUCAAGACAAAUUAAAUUUAAUAAUAGCUCAUGAAAUUUUCCCAUCCACCUUGCAAAUAGAUACCCCUCGUAAUUCCUAAACUCGCAAACACCGCUAUUGAAGAAGUUAAAACUAAAACCCUUCAAAAUUCAAGAUUGGUCUUUCCUUCAAAUAUACGAUCUCCCUCUCGCACAAAUUUGUUUCCAGAAAGCCCUAGAACUCUUUACCCCUCGUAUACAUUAAUUGAAUUGCAAUAGAAAUGACGGAUGAUUCAAGAGAUAUCGAGAAGCUUUACGAGUAUGGAGAGAAACUCAACGAAGCCAAAGACAAAUCUCAAGUCAGUAAUUCUUUUUUUGUCUGAUUCAGGAGUUUCUGCGCUUUUUAGAAGUUUUUUUUUUCUUUUUCUUUUUUAUGACGUGUUCGAUUUUGGGAGCAGAAUAAGGGGGAUUAUGAGGGAAUAAUUGCGGCUGCAAAUGGCAGCGUGAAGGCGAAGCAAUUGGCUGCGCAGCUGAUACCAAGGUUUUUCAAGUACUUCCCUGAGCUCUCGGAGCAAGCUCUCGACCAACAUUUGUAUCUGUGCGAGGAUGAGGAACUUGGGGUUAGGAAUCUAUUCUCCAUUUAAUGCGUUUUAUUUGUGUAUUUCUUGAUACUCUAAUAUGAAAUUUACAUAAGGGAAGUUCUUUUACU
rnacentral:lncRNA from 1 species